UUAAAGUGGUACGCGAGCUGGGUUUAGAACGUCGUGAGACAGUUCGGUCCCUAUCUGCCGUGGGCGCUGGAGAAUUGAGGGGGGCUGCUCCUAGUACGAGAGGACCGGAGUGGACGCAUCACUGGUGUUCGGGUUGUCAUGCCAAUGGCACUGCCCGGUAGCUAAAUGCGGAAGAGAUAAGUGCUGAAAGCAUCUAAGCACGAAACUUGCCCCGAGAUGAGUUCUCCCUGAGACUUUAAGUCUCCUGAAGGAACGUUAAAGACGAUGACGUUGAUAGGUCGGGUGUGUAAGCGCAGCGAUGCGUUGAGCUAACCGAUACUAAUGAACCGUGAGGCUUAACCUUACAACGCCGAAG
rnacentral:rRNA from 1 species